rnacentral:rRNA from 1 species
AUUGAACGCUGGCGGCAUGCCUUACACAUGCAAGUCGAACGGUAGAGUAGCAAUACUUGAGAGUGGCGAACGGGUGAGUAAUAUAUCGGAACGUGCCCAACUGUGGGGGAUAACGUAGAGAAAUUUACGCUAAUACCGCAUACGAUCUAAGGAUGAAAGCGGGGGAUCGCAAGACCUCGCGCAGUUGGAGCGGCUGAUAUCAGAUUAGCUUGUUGGUGAGGUAAAAGCUCACCAAGGCGACGAUCUGUAGCUGGUUUGAGAGAACGACCAGCCACACUGGGACUGAGACACGGCCCAGACUCCUACGGGAGGCAGCAGUGGGGAAUUUUGGACAAUGGGCGAAAGCCUGAUCCAGCAAUGCCGCGUGCAGGAAGAAGGCCUUCGGGUUGUAAACUGCUUUUGUACGGAACGAAACGGUCCGCUUUAAUACAGUGGGCUAAUGACGGUACCGUAAGAAUAAGCACCGGCUAACUACGUGCCAGCAGCCGCGGUAAUACGUAGGGUGCGAGCGUUAAUCGGAAUUACUGGGCGUAAAGCGUGCGCAGGCGGUUAUAUAAGACAGUUGUGAAAUCCCCGGGCUCAACCUGGGAAUUGCAUCUGUGACUGUAUAGCUAGAGUACGGUAGAGGGGGAUGGAAUUCCGCGUGUAGCAGUGAAAUGCGUAGAUAUGCGGAGGAACACCGAUGGCGAAGGCAAUCCCCUGGACCUGUACUGACGCUCAUGCACGAAAGCGUGGGGAGCAAA